rnacentral:rRNA from 1 species
AUUGAACGCUGGCGGCAGGCCUAACACAUGCAAGUCGAACGAGUGGCGGACGGGUGAGUAAUGCCUGGGAAUCUAGCUUAUGGAGGGGGAUAACUACGGGAAACGGUAGCUAAUACCGCAUACCAUAGGAUGUGCCCAGGUGGGAUUAGGUAGUGGGUGGGGUAAAGGCUCACCAAGCCGACGAUCUCUAGCUGGUCUGAGAGGAUGACCAGCCACACUGGGACUGAGACACGGCCCAGACUCCUACGGGAGGCAGCAGUGGGGAAGAUUGCGCAAUGGGGGCAACCCUGACGCAGCCAUGCCGCGUGAAUGAAGAAGGCCUUCGGGUUGUAAAGUGCUUUCGGUAGAGAGGCGUUAACUACAGAAGAAGCACCGGCUAACUCCGUGCCAGCAGCCGCGGUAAUAC